GCAAGUCGAACGAUGAACCUCACUUGUGGGGGGAUUAGUGGCGAACGGGUGAGUAACACGUGAGUAACCUGCCCUUGACUCUGGGAUAAGCCUGGGAAACCGGGUCUAAUACUGGAUACGACCUUCUGGCGCAUGCCAUGUUGGUGGAAAGCUUUUGUGGUUUUGGAUGGACUCGCGGCCUAUCAGCUUGUUGGUGGGGUAAUGGCCUACCAAGGCGACGACGGGUAGCCGGCCUGAGAGGGUGACCGGCCACACUGGGACUGAGACACGGCCCAGACUCCUACGGGAGGCAGCAGUGGGGAAUAUUGCACAAUGGGCGCAAGCCUGAUGCAGCGACGCCGCGUGAGGGAUGAAGGCCUUCGGGUUGUAA
rnacentral:rRNA from 1 species